rnacentral:rRNA from 1 species
GACGAACGCUGGUGGCGUGCCUAAUACAUGCAAGUCGAGCGGACCAAUAGAAGCUUGCUUCUGUUGGUUAGCGGCGGACGGGUGAGUAACACGUGGGCAACCUGCCUGUAAGACUGGGAUAACUUCGGGAAACCGGAGCUAAUACCGGAUAAUUCAUCCCCUCGCAUGAGGGGAUGCUGAAAGUCGGUUUACGCUGACACUUACAGAUGGGCCCGCGGCGCAUUAGCUAGUUGGUGAGGUAAUGGCUCACCAAGGCGACGAUGCGUAGCCGACCUGAGAGGGUGAUGGGCGCCACUUGGACUGCGACACGGCCCAGACUCCUAAGGGAGGCAGCAGGAGGGAAUCUUCCACAAUGGACGAAAGUCUGAUGGAGCAAAGCCGCGUUAGCGAUGAAGGCCUUCGGGUCGUAAAGCUCUGUUGUUAGGGAAGAACAAGUAUCGGAGUAACUGCCGGUACCUUGACGGUACCUAACCAGAAAGCCACGGCUAACUACGUGCCAGCCGCCGCCGUAA